GCCGGGCGCGGUGGCGCACGCCUGUAGUCCCAGCUACUCGGGAGGCUGAGACAGGAGGAUCGCUUGAGUCCAGGAGUUCUGGGCUGUAGUGCGCUAUGCCGAUCGGGUGUCCGCACUAAGUUCGGCAUCAAUAUGGUGACCUCCCGGGAGCGGGGGACCACCAGGUUGCCUAAGGAGGGGUGAACCGGCCCAGGUCGGAAACGGAGCAGGUCAAGAGUAAUUGUGGCUUCAUAGAAGGUAUUCGGUAGUGCUCCAUCUGUUUCAAUUUUGUGGAAUAGUUUGGAUAGUAUUGGUAUUUGGUGAUCU
ensembl:misc_RNA Metazoa_SRP Metazoan signal recognition particle RNA